rnacentral:rRNA from 1 species
AUGAACGCUGGCGGCGCGCCUAGUACAUGCAAGUCGAGCGAACAGACGAGGAGCUUGCUCCUCUGACGUUAGCGGCGGACGGGUGAGUAACACGUGGAUAACCUACCUAUAAGACUGGGAUAACUUCGGGAAACCGGAGCUAAUACCGGAUAAUAUAUUGAACCGCAUGGUUCAAUAGUGAAAGACGGUUUUGCUGUCACUUAUAGAUGGAUCCGCGCCGCAUUAGCUAGUUGGUAAGGUAACGGCUUACCAAGGCAACGAUGCGUAGCCGACCUGAGAGGGUGAUCGGCCACACUGGAACUGAGACACGGUCCAGACUCCUACGGGAGGCAGCAGUAGGGAAUCUUCCGCAAUGGGCGAAAGCCUGACGGAGCAACGCCGCGUGAGUGAUGAAGGUCUUCGGAUCGUAAAACUCUGUUAUUAGGGAAGAACAAAUGUGUAAGUAACUAUGCACGUCUUGACGGUACCUAAUCAGAAAGCCACGGCUAACUACGUG